ACCACACCUUCUUCUUAAAACUCCCUAACCUCGAGGUUUUGAAUAGGGUUUAUGAAUUCAGAACUCCAACAGCAUCCAUAGCUUCAUUCCAAUGGCUACUGCAUUUCUUGUCCGAAGAACUUCGACGAAAUUCCUCUUCCAACCUCGCUUCCAUUCUUCUUCCUCUUCUUCAGCUUCUCCAUUUCUUCCAAACCUCUGUUCUUCUCUUUUCCGAGAUUCCAAUUUCUCUAAUCAUGCAAUCUCUGUCCCUUUAUACUCCAGAAGUUUCGUCUCAGCUCCUGAAAGUUCUCUUGCUACUGCUCUCGGUACUGAUACUCGUGUUCCCGCCACUGUGAUCACUGGCUUUCUCGGCUCUGGAAAGACGACACUCCUCAAUCAUAUUUUGACAUCUCAACAUGGCAAGCGGAUUGCUGUCAUUGAAAAUGAGUUUGGUGAGGUGGAUAUUGAUGGAUCAUUGGUUGCCAGUCACUCCUCCGUAGCUGAAGACAUUGUGAUGGUUAAUAAUGGAUGCCUUUGCUGCACCGUGCGAGGUGAUCUGGUAAAGAUGCUAUUGGAGCUGGCCAAGAAUAAACGAGACAAGUUUGAUCAUAUUGUUAUUGAAACCACAGGCCUUGCUAAGCCAGCUCCUGUUAUAGAAACGUUUUGUACAGAUGAGCUGGUUUCACGUUAUGUCAAAUUAGAUGGAGUUGUAACUUUAGUUGAUUCCAAGCAUGCCAUGCAACACUUGAAUGAAGUGAAACCAAGAUUUGUGGUGAAUGAGGCUGUAGAACAAGUUGCUUAUGCUGAUCGGAUUAUAAUGAACAAGAUUGAUCUUGUAAGUCCAGAUGAAUUGGAGGAACUGACACUGAAGAUUAAGCGAAUAAAUGCGAUGGCCCAACUCAAGCGUGCUAAGUUUGGAGAUGUUGAUGUCGACUUCGUAUUAGGAGUGGGUGGAUAUGAUCUUGACAGAAUUGAUUCUCAAGUUGAAGCUAACACCCACAAACAUGAAACUGAACAUGAGCACAAGGGACAUGAUCAUCACCAUCAUCACCAUGACCAUGUACAUGACUCUGCUGUGUCUAGUGUUAGUAUUGUUUCUGAGGGAUUACUUGACCUUGAUGAGGUUGACGAUUGGCUCGAACGAUUGAUCGAGGAGAAAGGAGAGGACUUGUAUAGAAUGAAAGGAGUGUUGAGUGUAAAGGGUUAUGAGCAGCGUUAUGUCUUUCAGGGAGUGCACUCUAUCUUGGAUGGCUGCCCAGGCAAAGAAUGGGGCCCUGAUGAAAAGAGGGUAAACAAGUUGGUAUUCAUAGGAAAGAAUUUGGACGAAACUGCCCUUAGAAAAGGCUUUAAAGGUUGUUUAAUGUGAGAAGAAGCUGGUACACCAUCAGGUGCUAAUUUGGAUUUCACUCCGGAAAUUUCAUUUCAGUUUCGAUUCUAGUUCAAUGAUCGGGUUUAUGGCGUUUAGAAAUCUCGGCGAGUUCGAGUAAUCACGAAAGUAGCAAUGACUCGACUGAUUUCGACGUUCUGUUUCCUCGCGAUUAUCCUGAUCUUCUUGAUCGAGUAUGGUUUCGAUCACUUCUGUUUCUCUUUUUUACUUCUCGGAGCCGAUUUCUUUACGGUCAUUUCAAUGCUGUGUAUGUCUCUUGUGUCAUUUUAGCAGGUAGCUUCUUCAAUUAACUUCGCUUAGCCUUUUUCAUGGUUUUUUUCAUAUUGCAUUUAGCUUUGAUAAGUACUGUCAUGUUCGGAUUUCGUCUGUCAAACAAACUACAGGCGAAGAAAGCAACUGAAGCGGCGUGAAGCGAUAACAAACAGUUGAUCGUAAGUUUUGAGAACAUUUUGAUUUCUUUGGAAGGGGAGAAGCCUUUAUAGAUUCAUAAAACAGUGUGAAAUGAAGUUUCUGAUCAAAGCAAUUCUGCUUUAGGAGAAUUUCCAACUGUUGGACUUGAAUCAGAUCCAGAUCAUAUAACCUUAUGUAUCAGGUGAUGGUGAAGGAGGAAUUGAAGUGACUGAAAGUAUGCAAUUGAUUCGCUAAUUUUGUGAGACUGCUUCAUUGAUCCACUGAAAGCCACUCGGACCAUGGUGUUGCCCGGGUCAUUGGAAAGCCCUUACAAAUGUGAGGCUCAAGGAAGUCGCUUUCAACAUUCUUCCAUCAUCUUCGGCGUCUAGCUUAGCUAGUUGGUAGAUAUUAUUGUUGAUUCCAAUCCCCUGUUCACCGGCGUCAUUGCCUCCUUUUCUGGUAAAUAUUACAUACUUUUUCUGUCACUGAAUCAACACCAAAACUCACAGCUCA